CGGGUGCUGUCCCUUCCCACAGGCUCCUGCUUGAUGUCAAAAUCUCCCGUGUGUGCGGUAGGUCUGGUGUGUUCUGACAGGCCAGAGUGCGCAUCUGUAGAGGCGAGGCUUGAGGAAAAAGAGGAGCAGGAAAAUGGCCUGGAUUUCUGGAGGCCUGCUUUAAGGCUGUUCAAUUCUGCAAGAAAGGAAAAGAGGAGGAGGAGGAGACUGGCUCAAAUCUCUGGAGGACCCCCUGCAGUCGGCUGUGGUGCAUAACACCACUUGAGCAAAGAAAGGAGAGGGAAAUUGCACCACAUCAGUGAAGAUCCACCUCCAGUGGCAGCUCUGGUGGUGCUGGAGUUGCUGCUGACCACCACCCUCAACAGGUCCGCACCCACCCAGGAACCAUCCAUCCUCCCCCAGCUUGGUUGUGCCUCYUCUCCACUGUAUCUAUAUUAUUGACUGAGACUUUGCUUGGGUCAGAACCUGUUUGACUACUAGAUUGGCAAUUUACUUUAAUUUUUGUUCCAGUGUUAUAGCCUAAAUUGCUGAAAGAUCUUAGUGUGAAGAUACCAUUCUUUGACAGAUCUGUGCCUAAGGCUGAGACUUGGAUAGUAUAUAACUG
rnacentral:lncRNA from 1 species